UACGUAGGCAGCAAGCGUUGUUCGGAGUUACUGGGCGUAAAGGGUGUGUAGGCGGUUGGAUAAGAGUGGUGUGAAAUCUCCCGGCUCAACUGGGAGGGUGCGCUACAGAACUGUCUGACUAGAGUGUGGGAUGGGAGAGUGGAAUUCCUGGUGUAGCGGUGAAAUGCGUAGAUAUCAGGAGGAACACCGGUGGUGUAGACGGCUCUCUGGACCAUAAACUGACGC
rnacentral:rRNA from 1 species